rnacentral:lncRNA from 1 species
CAGGAGUGAGAAGAGGAGGGAAGGGGCUCUCUCCUGACCCCAGGGGAGUGCGGCCCUGCUGGCAGCCGCAAGGGUGAGAAGAGGAGGGAAGCAGGGGUGAGAAGAGGAGGGAAGGGGCUCCCUCCUGACCCCAGGGGGAGUGCAGCCAUGCUGGCAGCCGCAGGAGUGAGAAGAGGGAAGCAGGGGUGAGAAGAGGAAGGAAUAGACUCUCUCCCCACCCUGGGGGGAGUGCGGCCCUGCUGGCUGGCACCUCCGUCCCUGGCUUUCCCCCUCCAGAACGGCGAGGCAAUGGAUUUGUGUUGUUUAAGCCAAUAAAGUUGUGUAAUUUGUUCUUGGCAAUACUAGAAAUUCAUAUACCAGCUACCAAGUAGGGCCUGGAAGUCCUUAUUUUAAGCCGGAACCCCAGGUGAUCCUGGUUAGUGGAUCACCGUUAAGAAACGCUGACCUAGGGCGAUACUACAUGACUGAGUUUUGAAGGGUAUCAGAAUUAAACAUUUAGUAGGAGAGAAAAAGCGGCUCCAGGACUUGGGAGGCCCGAGAUGAGACACAGAGAGAAACAGUACUUGGCUCCUAGGUUGUUUUUGUCUGACUCCAGUCGCAUAAUUGCACAUUGGAAAAACAGUCUGGAAAUGACGGGAUUUGCAUCGUGUUUUCAGUUCGUCAAGCGUCUUGACUCUGUCUGGAUUUGUAACUAAACAAUACCAGCAGGUGAGAGUGGUCACACGGAAUGAAUCACAAACGAUCUUCAAAGGACAAACGUGGUGAAUCCUCGAACUGGCAAAGGAAGAAGUAAACUCUGCCCCCGCAAGCUCGCGCGACGCGACACCGCGGCCUCUCCUUGGCCCACUCACCACUUGGACGCUCUUCUUCAGGCUGGGAACAUGCGCUUCCUCACAGCUGGAGCCAUUCCUUCCUCUUCUUCAAAGGAUUUUCUGAAAUUCCAACCCCACUCUGAAAUUGUUUAAUAAACUAUCACAGUUUCACCUUCUCACCCUUCCACAUGAGUAGCCUCUCUCCAGUAAGACUUGGCCCUAAAGGUGGGUGCUUUGACCUGAGUGUCUACGCCAGGGCAGCGCCGGGGGCAGACAGAACCACCUGCCCUGAGCUCCCGGCUCACUGGUCUCCAUGCCUCGUUGGGGGCGAGACUGCGGACUUUAAUCUUCUAUCUUUGAAUUUUCCCUGGAUCCAAGCUGGGCUGCACUGCAAUGCUCCUUGCCCUCCUUCCUGAAACAGCUCAUCUUUGUCCUGGAAAAAUGUCAUGCUUGAGGCACUUUGGCCCUUGGGAAGAACAAGAGGGAAGACGGGAACCUCCUUUUUCUGGAGCUCCUACUGCGACUGGACCUUGCUGGCCGGUAAACUGAGAAAGCAGUACUGGAAUCCCACAAGCCCCACACCACUUUCUGAUGCCGUGAACGUUUUUCCUGGUGUGGUGCAUCUGCCUCAGUCAUAGAAGCAGUGUUGGUAAUCAGCAUCGUGGAGGCGGCGUCGGUGG